AACGAACGCUGGCGGCAGGCUUAACACAUGCAAGUCGAACGCCCCGCAAGGGGAGUGGCAGACGGGUGAGUAACGCGUGGGAACAUACCCUUUUCUACGGAAUAGCUCUGGGAAACUGGAAUUAAUACCGUAUACGCCCUACGGGGGAAAGAUUUAUCGGGGAAGGAUUGGCCCGCGUUGGAUUAGCUAGUUGGUGGGGUAAAGGCCUACCAAGGCGACGAUCCAUAGCUGGUCUGAGAGGAUGAUCAGCCACAUUGGGACUGAGACACGGCCCAAACUCCUACGGGAGGCAGCAGUGGGGAAUAUUGGACAAUGGGCGCAAGCCUGAUCCAGCCAUGCCGCGUGAGUGAUGAAGGCCUUAGGGUUGUAAAGCUCUUUCACGGAUGAAGAUAAUGACGGUAGUCGGAGAAGAAGCCCCGGCUAACUUCGUG
rnacentral:rRNA from 1 species